GAGUUUGAACCUGGCUCAGGAUGAACGCUGGCGGCGUGCCUAAUACAUGCAAGUCGAGCGAACAGAUAAGGAGCUUGCUCCUUUGAAGUUAGCGGCGGACGGGUGAGUAACACGUGGGUAACCUACCUAUAAGACUGGGAUAACUUCGGGAAACCGGAGCUAAUACCGGAUAAUAUUUAGAACCGCAUGGUUCUAAAGUGAAAGAUGGUUUUGCUAUCACUUAUAGAUGGACCCGCGCCGUAUUAGCUAGUUGGUAAGGUAACGGCUUACCAAGGCGACGAUACGUAGCCGACCUGAGAGGGUGAUCGGCCACACUGGAACUGAGACACGGUCCAGACUCCUACGGGAGGCAGCAGUAGGGAAUCUUCCGCAAUGGGCGAAAGCCUGACGGAGCAACGCCGCGUGAGUGAUGAAGGGUUUCGGCUCGUAAAACUCUGUUAUUAGGGAAGAACAAAUGUGUAAGUAACUGUGCACAUCUUGACGGUACCUAAUCAGAAAGCCACGGCUAACUACGUGCCAGCAGCCGCGGUAAUACGUAGGUGGCAAGCGUUAUCCGGAAUUAUUGGGCGUAAAGCGCGCGUAGGCGGUUUCUUAAGUCUGAUGUGAAAGCCCACGGCUCAACCGUGGAGGGUCAUUGGAAACUGGGAAACUUGAGUGCAGAAGAGGAAAGUGGAAUUCCAUGUGUAGCGGUGAAAUGCGCAGAGAUAUGGAGGAACGCCAGUGGCGAAGGCGACU
rnacentral:rRNA from 1 species